CGACGGAGGGGGCUAGCGUUAUUCGGAAUUACUGGGCGUAAAGGGCGCGUAGGCGGAUUAGUAAGUUGGGAGUGAAAGCCCGGGGCUUAACCUCGGAACUGCUUUCAAAACUGCUAGUCUUGAGUGAAGUAGGGGGUGAUGGAAUUCCUAGUGUAGAGGUGAAAUUCUUAGAUAUUAGGAGGAACACCGGUGGCGAAGGCGGUCACCUGGACUUCAACUGACGCUGAGGCGCGAAAGCGUGGGGAGCAAACAGGAUUAGAAACCCUGGUAGUCC
rnacentral:rRNA from 1 species